AGCAGUCGCCGCGGUAAUGCGAGGGGGGCAAGCGUUGUUCGGAAUUAUUGGGCGUAAAGGGUGCGUAGGCGGCUUGACAAGUCUUGUGUGAAAUCUAUGGGCUCAACCCAUAGUCUGCACGGGAAACUGUCGGGCUUGAGAAUGGGAGAGGUGAGUGGAAUUUCCGGUGUAGCGGUGAAAUGCGUAGAUAUCGGAAGGAACACCUGUGGCGAAAGCGGCUCACUGGACCAUUUCUGACGCUGAUGCACGAAAGCUAGGGGAGCAAACAGGAUUAGAUACCCGGGUAGUCCCUGUCUCUUAUAC
rnacentral:rRNA from 1 species